rnacentral:rRNA from 1 species
AAGGCUUGCUUCCACUGAGAAGAUAGUGGCGAACGGGUGAGUAACACGUGGGUAACCUGCCCAUAAGAAGGGGGAUAACAUCCGGAAACGGGUGCUAAUACGCAUAGUUUUCUUGAUUGCAUGAUUGAGAAAGGAAAGACGGCCUUUGUGCUGUCGCUUAUGGAUGGACCCGCGGCGUAUUAGUUAGUUGGUGAGGUAACGGCUCACCAAGACGAUGAUACGUAGCCGACCUGAGAGGGUGAUCGGCCACAUUGGGACUGAGACACGGCCCAAACUCCUACGGGAGGCAGCAGUAGGGAAUCUUCCGCAAUGGACGAAAGUCUGACGGAGCAACGCCGCGUGAGUGAAGAAGGUUUUUCCGGAUCGUAAAACUCUGUUGUCAGAGAAGAACAAGUUGGAGAGUAACUGCUCCAGCCUUGACGGUAUCUGACCAGAAAGCCACGGCUAACUACGUGCCAGCAGCAGC